GUAGCCCAGAGCGUGGCACAUUCAUAUAUGAUAGCAGAACUCUGCGUCCUCCUCCUCAAACAAGAGAGGAGACAGGAAAACGCAGCCCCUCCUCACUGCUAUAAAAGAAGGAGGAAAAAAAACUGAGUGAGAGGGGAGAAAAAAAAAAGGGGGAAGAAGAAAGAAAAUCACACCCAUACGGGCUUCGCUCCCCCCAUCUAAACCGUGUCUGCAUUUUAACCAUGGGAGAACAGCUCAUAUGAAGAUGUGCACCUCCUGAUAACCUGCCAACCUCAUCUGUCAGCCAUUAGAUAAUCAGAGCUGGUAAGGCGGACCACAGAGCGCUGGCACAGCUUCAUCCAGAGAGCAACACGAGGGCAAAGACUCAGAGACCUUCGCCCUGCAGACAGACAGACAGGUUGGUUCAUGCUCACAAGGCCUGAUAGAGGAAAAUGCAUCCAUCCAAGGAAAGACCACCAAAGAACAAUGAAACCAAAAGAACGAAUGCUGCGAUAAAUAAAAACAGGUAAAAACAGAGGUAAAUAAACCUGCACUAUCACACAUAACACGUAUUAUAUUAUGAAAUAAAAAAUGUCUACUAAAAUGACAAUUUUAAGUGUCUUCUAGGGCCUGAUAACGUAACGGUGGUGUGUGACACUGGAAAUCCUUCACACCUGUGGGUUGGUGGCCUGGGGACUUUGAAGAUGAACAAGCAAAAGCAGAAGCAGUUAAAGUCCCCCUCAAAUCAACUUUUAAGUCAAUUGUAAAAGUGUUCCCCAUGGCUGUUUUUAGCUAAAAACAGUUUAUGACACUAUGACAGUUUCUGCAGGGCCAUAGUAGUUCAACAGAAAUUCGCCUCUGGAUUGUGGGCGGGACUGUCCUGACUUCCCUCAUCCUUUGGUUUGAUGAGCAAAAUCUGUCCCAGCUCAGAUAAGAAAAACGAAGACGUACAAGGAUUUAUUUGUCUGUAAGUGGAUGCAUCAGAAUGGAGCGGAGCAGGAACCUUGUUGCCCACCAACUGUUGCACCUACGUCACAGCUACAAGCUUUUUCCGAACGCAUUUUUUCAUCUGCUCCUGAUUCACAACCAUUUCAAUAAAUGCAGUUUUAAUCUUAAUUUACUUCAUAUAUGUCCUCCAGAAAAUAGUGCAACAUGUUAAAAGCACCCAAAAACAAAAUUUUCAUUGGAGUGGGUCUUUAAGUUACAGGUAAAGUACAGCACAUAAAGUUGAAACUUCAAUGGGGAACACAUUGUCAUUAAGUAGUGAUAAGACAUUACAUAUCAACAACUUGAGGACUAUUACCUCCCUGUCAGUGACUGUGAGCUUGAACACACCAUCUAUCACUGUCUUUUUCUUCUAGAGUGAAGAAAAAGGCUCCCAGGAAUCGUCAACUUGAUAGUGUCGACAGGUCCACACAGGACCGGGCCCAGUUUGGAUGGAGGUGGGAGCCUUGUGGGGAAAUCCAUGUGUAAAUGGAGGCUAAAUAGAGGAUGCUCAGAGAGAGCUGCUAAUCUUUUCCAUAGAUUAUCAACAGAACAGUGUGAAGCCCAGCCUGUCUAACCAAGUCAAAGCAGGGCCGUGGCCCCUGUCAUUCAGUCGGGACAGCCCAAACUAAAUGCUUCCAGACUUCAGUGCUCCGGCUCCCCUCAUUUCCACUGCAGCUGCUCUCCAUCACAAAACUGCAGCAGUCACUCCUCAACAGUGUUUUUCGUAAACUCAGCUUAAGCUAAGACAUCCGUUGAUGAUGCCUGUACAACAGACAGCUGAUUAAAAACUGAAACACGCCAUGAUUGGCUGCCUCAUUUAUGUUUCCUGAUUGUUUGUCCUGAAAAGCUCUCCCAUUAAAGCUAUAGUUUAAAGCUGCAGAUACCAUCUCACAGCAUCUGGUUUUCUGAGGCAACCUCCUUUUUGGUUUUUUCUGAAGCCCACAUUGAAACAUUAUCUUCCAACACAGAUUUUCUUGGUUAAAACCAUGACAAAAAGAAAAUGCUGGUAAACACUUGGAUAGGAAGGGACCUUCCAUCCUCUAAUUCAAUUGCUCACACUCCAGCAAUGUCACAAAUGAAUGACCCCGAGGCAACACAUGCAGAGGUUGUUCCCCGCCUCGUGCCCUGGGGCCAAGUCGACAAUGACUAGUUGUGCAUGUGGAAUCCAUUUGAAAAUCCAAGGCAUGUCAUGAGCUUUACACUGGCAGGAAACCCACAAAUGUGAUGGUAGCAAUAAACGAGAACAAGAUACUCAAACUUGGUUGAACUUUUCAAAUGCAUCUCUUGUUUGCCACUGACAAUCAAUUCUAAGUCGUUUUAUAUUGUAAUAUUAACUUUGUGUCUAUAAAUGUUGACUUUGUGCAAUAAAGACAAUAAUUGCUUUG